rnacentral:rRNA from 1 species
GUUAGGAAUAUUGGACAAUGGGCGCAAGCCUGAUCCAACCAUGCCGCGUGAGUGAUGAAGGCCUUCGGGUUGUAAAGCUCUUUAGCCGAUGAUUAUAAUGACUGUAGUCGGAAAAUAAGCCCCGGCUAACUUCGUGCCAGCAGCCGCGGUAAUACGAAGGGGGCGAGCGUUAUUCGGAAUCACUGGGCGUAAAGCGUGCGUAGGCGGCUUUGCAAGUUGGGAGUGAAAGCCCAGGGCUCAACCCUGGAAUUGCUCUCAAAACUGCAAGGCUCGAAUUCGGGAGAGGAUAGCGGAAUUGUCAGUGUAGCAGUGAAAUGCGUAGAUAUUGACAGGAACACCAGUGGCGUAAGCGGCUAUCUGGACCGAUAUUGACGCUGAGGCACGAAAGCGUGGGGAUCAAACAGGAUUAGAUACCCGAGUAGUCC